rnacentral:rRNA from 1 species
UAGGGAAUCUUCGGCAAUGGACGAAAGUCUGACCGAGCAACGCCGCGUGAGUGAAGAAGGUUUUCGGAUCGUAAAACUCUGUUGUUAGAGAAGAACAAGGACGUUAGUAACUGAACGUCCCCUGACGGUAUCUAACCAGAAAGCCACGGCUAACUACGUGCCAGCAGCCGCGGUAAUACGUAGGUGGCAAGCGUUGUCCGGAUUUAUUGGGCGUAAAGCGAGCGCAGGCGGUUUCUUAAGUCUGAUGUGAAAGCCCCCGGCUCAACCGGGGAGGGUCAUUGGAAACUGGGAGACUUGAGUGCAGAAGAGGAGAGUGGAAUUCCAUGUGUAGCGGUGAAAUGCGUAGAUAUAUGGGGGAACACCAGUGGCGAAGGCGGCUCUCUGGUCUGUAACUGACGCUGAGGCUCGAAAGCGUGGGGAGCAUACAGG